UACGUAGGGUGCGAGCGUUGUCCGGAAUUAUUGGGCGUAAAGGGCUCGUAGGCGGUCUGUUGCGUCAGGAGUGAAAACUCGGGGCUUAACCCCGAGCCUGCUUCUGAUACGGGCAGACUAGAGGUAUGCAGGGGAGAACGGAAUUCCUGGUGUAGCGGUGAAAUGCGCAGAUAUCAGGAGGAACACCGAUGGCGAAGGCAGAUCUCUGGGCCGUAACUGACGCUGAGGAGCGAAAGCGUGGGGAGCGAACAGG
rnacentral:rRNA from 1 species